rnacentral:rRNA from 1 species
AGUGAACGCUGGCGGCGUGCCUAAUACAUGCAAGUCGAACGAAGUGGCGCACGGGUGAGUAAUAUAUAGGUAAUCGGCCCUACACAGAGGAACAACAGUUGGAAACGACUGCUAAUACAAAAGAGUGUAGGAGGAGACUAAAGCGUAUAAGCUAGUAGGUAAGGUAAAGGCUUACCAAGGCUAUGACGCGUAACUGGUCUGAGAGGAUGAUCAGUCACAUUGGAACCGAGACACGGUCCACACUCCUACGGGAGGCACCAGUACGGAAUAUUUCGCAAUGGGGGAAACCCUGACGCAGCAACGCCGCGUGGAGGAUGACACUUUUCGGAGCGUAAACUCCUUUUAUCAGGCAAGCGGUCCCUGAUUAAUAAGCACCGGCUAACUCCGUGCCAGGCGCCGCGGUAAUUC